GCACUUCGGUUUCUCUUCAGAUCGUAUAAAUCUUUCGCCUUUUACUAAAGAUUUCCGUGGAGAGGAACAGUUACGAGUUUCAGCCGUGAAACAUUUCUUUUCCCUAAAAACUGUGAG
rnacentral:snRNA from 1 species